GGCUGGUCUGAAGGUAGCGAAUUAUCUCAGGUGAUUGUUCAGUCACUUGCAGAUAAAACUCCUUGUUCUACUGUUUACCCCCUUCUCACUAGUGCACUUGACUAUUCAAAA
ensembl:misc_RNA Y_RNA Y RNA